UACAGAGGGGGCAAGCGUUGUUCGGAAUUACUGGGCGUAAAGGGCGCGUAGGCGGCCUUCUAAGUCGAACGUGAAAUCCCUGGGCUCAACCCGGGAACUGCGUCCGAUACUGGAAGGCUUGAAUCCGGGAGAGGGAUGUGGAAUUCCAGGUGUAGCGGUGAAAUGCGUAGAUAUCUGGAGGAACACCGGUGGCGAAGGCGACAUCCUGGACCGGUAUUGACGCUGAGGCGCGAAAGCCAGGGGAGCAAACGGG
rnacentral:rRNA from 1 species